AUACAUGCUCUAAUACCAUACCCCAAUAAAAGGUUUCUGAUACCAUACCCCAAUAAAAGGACAAUACCAUACCUGUUGGAGAAAUAUCUGAUUCUAGGACUGGGACAGGAAAUAUAUGGCUUCUUGUAGUUCCAGAAAGGAAAUGAUUUUUAAAAAAUCCACCACAAAAAAAAUGUACAAUCAUAAGGGGGGUAUGUCAGAGGAACACAGCAGCCACUAACAGAGCUCCCAGUGGCCAAACCUGAUACAAUGUGAGCAGUAAAGUAGUAUGGAUUAUAACUCAAAGUACAAAAUAAGUAUCAAUAAGUCUAUAGUUAUAUAAACAAAUGAUUAAAUAAAAUUUGAAAUUAUAGAAAAAGGCAUGUCUCCUGUACAGAAUAAUUCUGUACAUAGUCCUCUCUUGAGUGUAUAACUAACUCCCCAUCCUUUAACUGUGCUCUGUGCUUAGUAACCUCUUUCCAAUGGAAAGAAGGAAAAGAGUAACUUUACAGUGGAGAAAUUUGGCAAACACUACCUUAGGUGAUCAAGUUCAACAUCAACAAUGAUACGUCAUGUUGAUAGUAUGAGUAGUAAGAAUGGCACUUACUCUCAAAACUCCACAACCCCACUCUCCCCAUGAGAAAACAUUAGCAAUACUCAGCUGAGGUAUAUUUGACAAAACACUUGACUUGUACUUCUUGAAACUGUCAAAGUUAUCAAAAACAAAUUCUGAGAAGCUGUCACAGAUAAGACAAGCCUAAGAAGAUGUGAUGACUAAAAGUAAUGUGGGAUCCUGGAUGGGAUCCUGGAAAAAGAAAGGGAUAUUAGGUAAAAACUAAGGAAAGCUGAAUAAAGCAUGGACUUUAAUAUACUAUACUAAUUAAUAUAUUAAUAGGAGAAACUAUGUGGGAUAUAGAGGAAAUCUUUAUACUAUGUUUGCAAAUUUUAUGUAAAUCAAAAACUAUUCUAAAAAAUAGUUAAAAAAAAAGAUGUGCGAACAGAAUUGGAAUAGACUAGGUAGUAUGUACCUUAAUACCUAUUGUAGACAUAGCAGGACAAGUUUAUAGUGAAAAACAAGAUGGAUUUAACAUUUUGGUAGAGAGUAAAAUGGGACAAAUAGUAGGGAUAUAUUUUCUCAAGUAUUUUAUUCCUUUAUAAAAAUUCCACUUUGAGGGCAGCCCGGAUGGCUCAGUGGUUUAGCGCCGCCUUCAGCCUGGGGUGUGAUCCUGGAGACCCGGGAUCAGGUCCCACAUCGGGCUCCCUGCAUGGAGCCUGCUUCUCCUUCUGCCUGUGUCUCUGCCUCUCUCUCUCUUUCUGUGUUUCUCUCAUGCAUGAAUAAAUGAAAUAUAUUUUUUUAAAAUUCUACUUUGAGCACAGCCAUAUUGUGGGAGGGAAGAGCUGAAGUAGGUGCUCUUGGCUCCCCGCUGCAUGCCUCAGUCUGUGAAGGAACUCACCGCCCAGCCACCAUCAUGCCUGGGCACUCACAGGAAGACUUCAGCUGCAUGGUCACCAACCGAUGUGACCAGUUAUUUGAUGACAAAUCAGACCCCUUUGAGUUGUUGAAGUCAGCAGAGAACAAGAAAAAAAGCUGGCGGAGCCGGCAUUGGGGUCCCUGGGGCCAAGAGCACAGUUCAGGCUGCAGUCCAGACCAACUCCAAUGUAGCAGGCAAACAGCUGCAUAAAGAGUCCCAAGAACCAGGUGACCCCUCAUGUUGGGGUGGUGUGCAAGAAAGAGGAGACGUAGCUGCCAAUGUCACUUAAGAAUAAGAUGUGUUGGAAGAAAACCAACCAUUGAAGAUGAGUUAAUAGAGUCUCCAAAAUACAUUCAGAAACAAAUAUAACUUCAGUGACUUGGAUCAAUCAAAUGUGACUGAGGAAACACCUGAAGGUGAAGAACAUCCAGUUGCAGACACUGAAUAUAAGGGGAAUGAAUUUGAAGAAGUAAAGAAAGAGGGACCAGAAGAAAUGACUUUGGAUGAGUGGAAAGCUAUUCAAAAUUAAGGACCGGGAAAAAGUAGGAUUUAAUAUAUGUUCUCAUUCAUUUGGGGAAUAUAAAAAAUAGUGAAAGGGAAUAGAAGGGAAGGGAGAAGAAAUGGGUGGAAAUAUCAGAAAGGGAGACAGAACAUAAAGACUCCUAACUCUGGGAAAUGAACUAGGGGUGGUGGAAGGGGAGGAGGGCGGGGGAUGGGGGUGAAUGGGAGACGGGCACUGAGGGGGGCACUUGACGGGAUGAGCACUGGGUAUUAUUCUGUAUGUUGGCAAAUUGAACACCAAUAAAAA
rnacentral:lncRNA from 1 species